AAUGCACGGCUCAAACACAUGACACUGAAAUCAAGACCUGAGGAAUACUUUUGAUGGGAUCCAGAACAUGUUCUCCUUUGAGAUUGCCGAGAAGCUGCAAGUGGCAUCACUGCCUGGUGCUGGAGAAGCAUGUGGUUGUUUCUGUGCAGUUCAUGCUGUUCUCUCUUCCUCCAUGGCUGUGAUUGGAAUCUUCAUACUAUGCCUGCUCUGAGAAAAAAAAAUCUAGAGAUAGAUGGAGUAGCAGAUUGGUACCAAAUAUACUUUGAGAAUAACAGAAAGGAUACACCACUGGAAAAGAGAAUUGGGACAAUCUAGAUAGUCACUUUCUCUCUUGCUUUGCUAUAGCUAUGUCCCAUUUGAUAAUACUUCUGUUCCUCAUUUCAUUUAUUUAUGCCUCUAAUAGCAGAAACUGUUGCACAUCACUGACAGGGUAAUUCUGGGGCUGGUCCUUAGCCCUGAAGAAGACUGGUUCAUAGUUUGUCAAAUGUUAUAUCAGGACUGGGGGCAUUUUGCAUGUUCACCCAGAUGUGGGGUCUUUUCUGGGAAAGAAUUUCAGUCUUCCUGGAAGCAUGGAAAUAGAGGUGAAUAAUCACUGUCAUUAUCCUUAGCAAAUUAUCAAUGGCCAGUAGAAAUAUAAAGCUACCAGAGUUUCUGUGAAGAAAUCUGGCAAGUAACCAAGCUAGAGUGUCAAAGGUGGGCUCAAUCUGUAGAAAAUCACUUCGCCAAUCUUCAUCCAAGUGCACACUAAACUAUGGAAGACACAGAUCCUGCAUACUCAGGGGGUAAAAUCCUGUGUUGUCCAUGUAUAUCACAUAGUCCUGGAUCUGAACUGUGUGAGCAGGGAAUCUACCUCUAUCCUGUAGUUGACUAGAGAAGGUAAGUCCUGGGUCACAUGGGUUUCAUGUGUGAAUGAGAUUCCAUUGUUGAUGCCUUAAUUUAUUUUUUUAAGUUUGUUUAUUUUGAGAGCGCGUGCACAAAUGGGAAAGGGGCAGAGAGAGGGAGAA